AGCGAACGCUAGCGGCGGGCCUAACACAUGCAAGUCGAGCGCAUACCUUCGGGUAUGAGCGGCGGACGGGUGAGUAACGCGUAGGUCAUCUACCCUUUGGUGGGGGAUAACCCAGGGAAACUUGGGCUAAUACCGCACGAGGUCCACGGAUCAAAGCCUUCGGGCGCCAGAGGAUGAGCCUGCGUCGCAUUACCUAGUUGGCGGGGUAACGGCCCACCAAGGGGACGAUGCGUAGCUGGUCUGAGAGGAUGAUCAGCCACACUGGGACUGAGACACGGCCCAGACUCCUACGGGAGGCAGCAGUGGGGAAUAUUGCGCAAUGGGGGAAACCCUGACGCAGCCACGCCGCGUGGGUGAUGAAGGCCUUCGGGUUGUAAAGCCCUGUCGGGAGGGACGAAUUCUUGACGGUACCUCCAAAGAAAGCACCGGCUAACUCCGUGCCAGCAGCCGCGGU
rnacentral:rRNA from 1 species